GACUUGUGAAUGAACAAAGUGUGGAGCUGGAUGAACACAGCAGGCUAAGCAGCAUCUUAGGAGCGCAAAAGCUGACAUUUUGGGCCUACACCCUUCUCAUUGCCACCUUGCUGUGUUGGAGAGGCUGGAGUGUCCCAUUGAUCACGAGAUCUAAGCCAACGGAAGUUCUCAACUCCUGGCAAGGCCACCCAUGGGAAUAAGAUGCUGCCAGACCUGUUGAAUUUCUCUGGCAAUUUUGUUACAGAUUUCCAGCAUCCACAGUUGUUGGUUUUAUCUUAGUCACAAACUGGACAAGCUUCGGAUCCAGCAGUGAAGUACAGCCUUGUCCCUGUUCUGAACUACCAGUGGAUCAACAGGAACAGCUGUUGCUUCAGUAGCAGCAUUGUAGACCUGGUGUGGUUUCGCCUGGAAUGGACUGUGCGGGGGAAAGCAUGGCGAAACGGAGGAGAUUGAGCCCUUGUAGGAAGUGUCGUCCCAGCAUGGCUGAGCAUCUUCGAAAGACUGUAAUGUUUGACUUUUAGAUUUAUUCUUCACUUUUUUUUACUUGAUGCUCGGAAUUAGCGUAAUAGUUAACUUUCAGCCUUGUUCUUAAGAUACUGUAUCUAGGUACCUGUAUCUAAGGUGGUGACAUUAUACUGUUUUCACUGCACUCCUGUACUUUUGAACGUGAGUGCACGUGACAACAAAAUCUAAAGCUAAAAAAAUCAGUACAGUGUUUGUAUGAUUAAUUCUAUUCUCAUUACGCAGUGAUAAAACAAAUUUUAAAAAUCAGUAAUACUUGGAAAUUAAUGUACUGGUCAUACUGGAGCACUACUUAGAGACAUACCGGACAAAUCGGACCAGCAUAUCUCAUUUCGCAAGUUGUACUGUUUUGUUCUCCCUUCUGGGUAGUGAUGGUUUCGUUUCUCUUAGGUGGCCUUGGCAGUUGAAACAGUUGUUCUAACAACUCUGCAGAGGCUGAAAGACCCCUCCUCUGCUUCCUGCUUCUUAUAGUACAGCUGCUUCUGCCACCAAGAUGACGAAUGUCCUUCUGCGAUCUGAACAAAUAUUGAUUUUAAUAACAGGUGGUGCUUGAAUCUCGUUCAAGAGUUCCCAGUACCUCUGGAAUGCGGGAACGCACAUAGAAACUUGACAGAAUUCAAGCUGCUCCACCCUAUAAUUAGAAAUGUAAUUAAUAGCUCAACAACUGCAGUGGUAGCCAGUUAUACCAACCAUUCAUCUAAACUACAAAAUACAAUUAAGCACAUUCAUCUGAAAUUGAUUUUAUCACUACAAAAUUUUUUUUACUUUUAGUCCCAGUUACAUACACAUUUAAUAAACUCCAGGUUU